rnacentral:rRNA from 1 species
GAUGAACGCUAGCGACAGGCUUAACACAUGCAAGUCGAGGGGCAGCAGGGGAGUAGCAAUACUCCCGCUGGCGACCGGCGCACGGGUGAGUAACACGUAUGCAACCUGCCCUUGUCAGGGGGAUAAGCGGAAGAAAUUCCGUCUAAUACCGCAUAAUGCUGCGGGGAGACAUCUCCCUGCAGCCAAAGAUUUAUCGGACAAGGAUGGGCAUGCGGCGCAUUAGCUUGUUGGCGGGGUAACGGCCCACCAAGGCGACGAUGCGUAGGGGUUCUGAGAGGAAGGUCCCCCACACUGGUACUGAGACACGGACCAGACUCCUACGGGAGGCAGCGGUGAGGAAUAUUGGUCAAUGGCCGGGAGGCUGAACCAGCCAAGUCGCGUGAGGGAAGACGGUCCUAUGGAUUGUAAACCUCUUUUGUCAGGGAGCAAAAACUGCCACGUGUGGCAGGAUGAGAGUACCUGAAGAAAAAGCAUCGGCUAACUCCGUGCCAGCAGCCGCGGUAAUACGGAGGAUGCGAGCGUUAUCCGGAUUUAUUGGGUUUAAAGGGUGCGUAGGCGGACAGUUAAGUCAGCGGUAAAAUUGAGAGGCUCAACCUCUUCCCGCCGUUGAAACUGAUUGUCUUGAGUGGGCGAGAAGUAUGCGGAAUGCGUGGUGUAGCGGUGAAAUGCAUAGAUAUCACGCAGAACUCCGAUUGCGAAGGCAGCAUACCGGCGCCCAACUGACGCUGAAGCACGAAAGCGUGGGUAUCGAACAGGAUUAGAUACCCUGGUAGUCCACGCAGUAAACGAUGAAUACUAAUUGUUCGGGUCAAAUGAGAUCUGAGUGAUACAGCGAAAGCGUUAAGUAUUCCACCUGGGGAGUACGCCGGCAACGGUGAAACUCAAAGGAAUUGACGGAGGCCCGCACAAGCGGAGGAGCAUGUGGUUUAAUUCGAUGAUACGCGAGGAACCUUACCCGGGCUCAAACGACACAGGAAUGAUCUGAGAAAUCAGGCAGUCCUCCGGGACCUGUGUCGAGGUGCUGCAUGGUUGUCGUCAGCUCGUGCCGUGAGGUGUCGGCUUAAGUGCCAUAACGAGCGCAACCCCCAUCGACAGUUGCCAGCAGGUCAAGCUGGGCACUCUGUCGAGACUGCCGGCGCAAGCUGUGAGGAAGGCGGGGAUGACGUCAAAUCAGCACGGCCCUUACGUCCGGGGCGACACACGUGUUACAAUGGCAGGUACAGCGGGAAGCCACCUGGCGACAGGGAGCGGAACCCGAAAGCCUGUCUCAGUUCGGAUUGGAGUCUGCAACUCGACUCCAUGAAGCUGGAUUCGCUAGUAAUCGCGCAUCAGCCACGGCGCGGUGAAUACGUUCCCGGGCCU